GACGAACGCUGGCGGCGUGCUUAACACAUGCAAGUCGAACGGUGACCCAGGGCUUGCCCUGGUGAUCAGUGGCGAACGGUGAGUAACACGUGGGCAACCUGCCCCCUGACUUCGGGAUAACUCCUCGAAAGAGGAGCUAAUACCGGAUACGACCACUUCGGACAUCCGAUGGUGGUGGAAAGUUUUUCGGUCAGGGAUGGGCCCGCGGCCUAUCAGCUAGUUGGUGGGGUAAUGGCCUACCAAGGCGACGACGGGUAGCCGGCCUGAGAGGGCGACCGGCCACACUGGGACUGAGACACGGCCCAGACUCCUACGGGAGGCAGCAGUGGGGAAUAUUGCGCAAUGGGCGAAAGCCUGACGCAGCGACGCCGCGUGAGGGAUGAAGGCCUCGGUUGGUAACCUACUUUCAGCAGGGACGAAGCGAAAGUAGACGGUACCUGCAGAAGAAGACACCGGCGUAACUACGUGCCAGCAGCCGCGGUAAU
rnacentral:rRNA from 1 species